rnacentral:rRNA from 1 species
AGCGGGAAGUAGUUUACUACUUUGCCGGCGAGCGGCGGACGGGUGAGUAAUGUCUGGGAAACUGCCUGAUGGAGGGGGAUAACUACUGGAAACGGUAGCUAAUACCGCAUAACGUCUUCGGACCAAAGUGGGGGACCUUCGGGCCUCACGCCAUCGGAUGUGCCCAGAUGGGAUUAGCUAGUAGGUGGGGUAAUAGCUCACCUAGGCGACGAUCCCUAGCUGGUCUGAGAGGAUGACCAGCCACACUGGAACUGAGACACGGUCCAGACUCCUACGGGAGGCAGCAGUGGGGAAUAUUGCACAAUGGGCGCAAGCCUGAUGCAGCCAUGCCGCGUGUGUGAAGAAGGCCUUCGGGUUGUAAAGCACUUUCAGCGAGGAGGAAGGCCAAUAACUUAAUACGUUGUUGGAUUGACGUUACUCGCAGAAGAAGCACCGGCUAACUCCGUGCCAGCAGCCGCGGUAAUACGGAGGGUGCAAGCGUUAAUCGGAAUUACUGGGCGUAAAGCGCACGCAGGCGGUUUGUUAAGUCAGAUGUGAAAUCCCCGCGCUUAACGUGGGAACUGCAUUUGAAACUGGCAAGCUAGAGUCUUGUAGAGGGGGGUAGAAUUCCAGGUGUAGCGGUGAAAUGCGUAGAGAUCUGGAGGAAUACCGGUGGCGAAGGCGGCCCCCUGGACAAAGACUGACGCUCAGGUGCGAAAGCGU